AAGUCGUAACAAGGUUUCCGUAGGUGAACCUGCGGAAGGAUCAUUAACACGUAUCCAAACGUUAAACCCCCCUGUGCACGUUAAUCCUGCUCGCUUUCGCCUUGACAAAGCAAUCUCUGGUAAAUCAUUGCCCGAACAGAGCUGAUUCAGAGACCUCUUUCGAAACACGAAUCCAUGGAGCGGCAGAUCAAUAGGCUUGGAUCCAAGGUCGUUGGCUUACACGGUCAACGGACAAGUCUCUGGGCGUAAAGCCCCAGAUAACCAAACCCAGUAGGUGAAAGUAGUCCCGCGUAAAGUAGGGACAAAAAAACGAACAACUGUUAACAAUGGAUAUCUUGGUUCUC
rnacentral:misc_RNA from 1 species